rnacentral:tRNA from 1 species
GGGGAUUUAGCUCAGAGGCAUAAGCACCUGCCUUACAAGUAGGCGGUCAUGAGUUCAAUCCCUG